rnacentral:rRNA from 1 species
GAUAAACGCUGGCGGCGUGCCUAACACAUGCAAGUCGAACGCUCUCGGGCAAGCUCGAGGGAGUGGCGGACGGGUGAGUAGCACGUGGGUGAUCUACCUUUGGGUGAGGAAUACCGGCGAGAAAUCGCCGACAAUGCCGCAUAGGCUCGUUCGAGAGAGCGAGCAAAGUCGCAAGACGCCCGAAGAUGAGCCUGCGUCCGAUUAGCUAGCUGGUGGGGUAAAGGCUUACCAAGGCGACGAUCCGUAGCUGGUCUGAGAGGACGACCAGCCACACUGGGACUGAGACACGGCCCAGACUCCUACGGGAGGCAGCAGUGGGGAAUUUUGGACAAUGGGCGCAAGCCUGAUCCAGCCAUGCCGCGUGCGGGAAGAAGGCCUUCGGGUUGUAAACCGCUUUUGUCAGGGAAGAAAUGCUUCGGGCUAAUAUCCUGGAGUGAUGACGGUACCAGAAGAAUAAGCACCGGCUAACUACGUGCCAGCCGCCGCAGUAAUAC